rnacentral:rRNA from 1 species
ACUCAAAUGAAUAGACGGGGGCCCGCACAAGCGGUGGAGCAUGUGGUUUAAUUCGACGCAACGCGCAGAACCUUACCCAGACUUGACAUUGAUGGAAUCCUGUAGAGAUACGGGAGUACCCUUCGGGGACCUGAAAACAGGUGCUGCAUGGCUGUCGUCAGCUCGUGUCGUGAGAUGUUGGGUUAAGUCCCGCAACGAGCGCAACCCUCAUCGUUAGUUGCCAUCAGGUAAUGCUGGGCACUCUAGCGAGACUGCCGGUGUCAAACCGGAGGAAGGUGGGGAUGACGUCAAGUCCUCAUGGCCUUUAUGUCUGGGGCUACACACGUGCUACAAUGGCACCUACAGAGUGAUGCAAACUCGCGAGAGCCAGCAAAUCACAAAAAAGGUGUCUCAGUUCGGAUCGGAGUCUGCAACUCGACUUCGUGAAGUCGGAAUCGCUAGUAAUCGAGGAUCAGCACGCCUCGGUGAAUACGUUCCCGGGCCUUGUACACACCGCCCGU